AUUGAACGCUGGCGGCAGGCCUAACACAUGCAAGUCGAGCGGAUGAAGGGAGCUUGCUCCUGGAUUCAGCGGCGGACGGGUGAGUAAUGCCUAGGAAUCUGCCUGGUAGUGGGGGAUAACGUCCGGAAACGGGCGCUAAUACCGCAUACGUCCUGAGGGAGAAAGUGGGGGAUCUUCGGACCUCACGCUAUCAGAUGAGCCUAGGUCGGAUUAGCUAGUUGGUGGGGUAAAGGCCUACCAAGGCGACGAUCCGUAACUGGUCUGAGAGGAUGAUCAGUCACACUGGAACUGAGACACGGUCCAGGCUCCUACGGGAGGCAGCAGUGGGGAAUAUUGGACAAUGGGCGAAAGCCUGAUCCAGCCAUGCCGCGUGUGUGAAGAAGGUCUUCGGAUUGUAAAGCACUGUAAGUUGGGAGGAAGGGCAGUAAGUUAAUACCUUACUGUUUUGACGUUACCAACAGAAUAAGCACCGGCUAACUUCGUG
rnacentral:rRNA from 1 species